AAACCGCAAAAGGCUCAUUAAAUCAGUUUUUGUUUAUUUGUUAAUGAUUGAUAAUUGGAUAUCUGUGGCAAUUCUAGAGCUAAUACAUGCAAAUAUACUCUGACCGCAAGGAAUAUGAGUGCUUUUAUUAGUACCAAACCAAUGUGUUUUAUACACUUGGAAUGGUGACUCUGGAUAAUAUUGCCUAGUGAAAGUGCCUAUAGUGCUGGCACAUAAUCUUUCAAGUGUCUGCCUUAUCAGCUGCAUUGUUGGGUACCUGCCUACAAUGGCUGUAACGGGUAACGGGGAAUCAGGGUUCGAUUCCGGAGAGGGAGCCUGAGAAACGGCUACCACAUCUAAGGAUGGCAGCAGGCGCGCAAAUUACCCAAUCCCGGCACGGGGAGGUAGUGACGAAAAAUAACGGUGCAAGGAUCUAUCAAGGCCUUGUAAUUGGAAUGAAUAGAGUUUAAAAAAUUGUACUGAGUACCAAUUGGAGGGCAAGUCUGGUGCCAGCAGCCGCGGUAAUUCCAGCUCCAAUGGCAUAUAUUAAAGUUGUUGUGGUUAAAAAGCUCGUAGUUGGAAUCUUGCCCGAGGAGUUAGUGGAAGCCGAAUGGUUUUCUUCUAUAGAGUUCGGGCUUUUGCCUUGAGAACAAUUAGUGCUCUUGACUGGGUGUUUUUUGAAUUGUCAAGCACUAUUACCUUGACUAAAUUCGAGUGCUUAAAGCAGGCGUAUGCCUGAAGAGAUGUUCAUGGGAUGAUGGAACAUGAUCUCUGUUCUGUUUGUUGGUUUGAGAUAAAAGAGAUAAUGAUAAAUGGAAGCAAGCGGGGGCAUUUGUACUGCUACGCUAGAGGUGAAAUUCUUGGACCGUAGCAUGACAAACUAAAGCGAAAGCAUCUGCCAAGGAUGUUUCCGUUAAUCAAGAACGAAAGUUAGAGGAUCGAAGGCGAUCAGAUACCGCCCUAGUUCUAACUGUAAACUAUGCUGACCAGCUAUCUGCCGGCGUUAUUCCCAUGACUCGGCAGGCCGCUUCCGGGAAACCAGAGUUUCUGAGUUCCAGGGGAAGUAUGGUUGCAAAUCUGAAACUUAAAGGAAUUGACGGAAGGGCACCACAAGGAGUGGAGCCUGUGGCUUAAUUUGACUCAACACGGGAAACUUUACCAGGCCCAGACAGUAGAAUGAUUGACAGAUUGAAAGCUCUUUCUCAAUUUAUUGGUUGGUGGUGCAUGGCCGUUCUUAGUUGGUGGAGUGAUUUGUCUGGUUUAUUCCGAUAACGAACGAGACUCUGGCCUACUAAAUAGGGAGCAGGUUGUUACUCGCCUGCGGU
rnacentral:rRNA from 1 species